GGGGGCCCGGGCCACUCUCUUUUUCAGGAAAAUUUUGGUUGGUUAUAGAGGGAAUCACUGAAGCGUGAUGGGAGCGGGCCCCCUCUUAUCCAGUUAGUGGGCCCCCACUUAUGAUAAUGUCUGGAUCCACCACUGAUAUUGCAAUAAUUCUUUUAACUCUGUUUAGAAGCCCUUAGUGUUAAAGAUUUUACAUAUAAUACAUAUUUUACACAAGUUGUAAUGCAUUUCAAGCUUCAGGCAGAAUCAAUU
rnacentral:lncRNA from 1 species